UAAUAAAUAUCAAAUAUAGGUGCCUCCUAUGGAGGAGAAUAGGGAAAUCCGGUUGAAAUCCGGUGCAGCCCCCGCUACUGUAAGCGUAUACGAAACCUCAAUAUGUCACUCAAACAUGGGGAAGACGAGGAAGUAGGAUAAGACGCAAGCCAGGAAACCUGCCUAUGUUUACUUUGGGAC
rnacentral:ncRNA from 2 species